rnacentral:rRNA from 1 species
AAGCUCGUAGUUGAAUUUCGGGAUUAGUACGUCGGUCGUGCCUUAGGUACGUACUGGUAUUACUGGUUCCUACCUUCUGACGAACCAUCAUGUCAUUAAUUUGGUGUCUUGGGGAAUCAGGACUGUUACUUUGAAAAAAUUAGAGUGUUUAAAGCAAGCUCGCGCUUGAAUACAUUAGCAUGGAAUAAUGAAAUAGGACGUUUGAUUCUAUUUUGUUGGUUUCUAGGAUCGACGUAAUGAUUAAUAGGGAUAGUUGGG